rnacentral:lncRNA from 1 species
CUAAGACAUGUGAAUACUAGUACUUACAAAAACAUACAAAGUCCGUGACACUUUCAUUACAACAACACAAGCGAGUACAAGACAUAUCUUCCGCUGUCAACUUUCCUAUAGCCUCCUGAGAACCACCAACGGUCCUGUAAGUGAACACAAAGUGUGUUCAUGAUAACUUCUUACUAAUAAUAGUUUAUGUUCAGAAAUCAAAACCAACAAAAGUAGAGAAUCUUUUACUUGCCCUUCAAACACAAGUUCCUUCUUCUUUUGAAGCUUCAGAAUCUUUUCCUCCACUGUGUUCUCUAUUAUGAAUCUUCACAACCUGCAAGACAAGAGAGAAACAAAAAAAAUACAACAUAUGAGGAAAGCGUCGAGCUCCACCACCGUUGGAGGCGACGGCGGCGUCUCCCGAGCUUUCUCAGUCAGCUGAACGUCGAAAUUGAAUCCAUCAGACGGAUUCCGCAGUGGAGAUGGAGACGCC